GAGAGAGUCACAGGUGAGUCUGCCCAGUGGAUCUCACCUGGCCGUCUCACACCGCCACGAACAGCCGACACGGACGCACGCCAUCCGCCUGUCCGUACCGCUGCCUUCAUCUGACCCCUUAACCUAACCUUCCUUUGCACUUCUGACCCUUUCCCUUACCCUUAGUCACCUUACACCUUCCUUACAACCCUCCUGACCUUCUCUACCCACUCCUGGCCCUCUCCAACCCGUCAGCCAGCGGUAUAAGAAGCGGUGGUCUGCGUUUAAGUUACCUAACCUCACUCAGAACCUUGCGUGAGUUUCCGUGAGUCUUCGUGAGUUUUCGUGACUCGAGUGAAUCUGUCACUUCGGAAUGGAACGGUGGCUAUUUGCAACGGUGGAACGCGGCGGAAUGAUAAGAAAAAAAGAGAAUUGAGCGAUUAUUGAACGGAGUGGAACGGCAGACUUCAGAUCGGAACGAGUGGAUCAAAAAUAGAGAAGAAAAAGAUUGGAGAAUGUGAAAUGAGGAGGUGAAAGAUGAAACAGAAAAGAAAAUGGGGAGAUUGAUGAUAUGGCGUGAUAGAUAAGGAGAAUAACAGAAAGAAAAGAAACGUACAAAAAUUACUUCAACAAAACAGGUACUGAAAAAGACGAACCAGUGACAAUAUAUUAGAGAAACGAGUACAUCUUCCGUUCAUUGGUAAGAAAAUUUAGAAAAGGAAAACUGAACGAAGGAAAAGAAAGGACAGUCUUCAAAAAACGCUU